GAAAGAGCAGGGCUAGAACAAAGGGACUGGACGGCCCGCGGCACUGAUCUCUAGAUUUGGACAGAAACUGAUGUUCACGAUGAUGGGUCCCGAGAUACGAAGAAGCCUAGAAGCGAUGAAUUGUCAGAGACCAGAGUACAGUCUUAAUUUUUUUGAAAAUUCCUAAGUGGAUUCAUGACAGUGUCCAUCUGUAACUCUUGAUCAAUGCCAAUGUUAACAUGCUCCAACAAGGCAACCGUCUGUCCAUGCUGGAGCAGCUCCAGUCACCUGGAUGUCCUCUCUGCCUGUAGUGGGCCAGGCUCCCGUAUUUGCACUUGCCCCUCCUGGGCCCGGCUCUUUGGAUCUCCCCCACCUGAGAGCUUCUGCAGGUCUUAGUCCAAGUGCCACUUCCGCGGGCUACCUCUUUGGAACAAGGCACAGAGAAGGAAAAGCAUUUACCCUCACACAGAAAUGUCCUAAGGACGUGACUCCCAGAGAUGUCCACAUGAAUGUGACUUUACUCUUUGAAGAGACACUCAUCCAGGCAAGUAGCUUGACUGUUCCUUACAGGAACUUCUAGAAAGAUCCAUCAAAUCCAUCCGUCAAAUGGAAAGAUCCAUCCAACAAUAUAAAGUAACAACAGACAUUUUAUGCCUCAAAAUUCUUUUGAACCCCUUGCCUUGAAAUUCUCCCUGCGGGGAUGCCUGGCUGGCUCAAUCAGUAAAGCGUGCAACUCUUGAUCUCAGGAUUGUAAG